UGGGGAAUUUUGGACAAUGGGGGCAACCCUGAUCCAGCAAUGCCGCGUGUGUGAAGAAGGCCUUCGGGUUGCAAAGCACUUUUGUCCGGAAAGAAAUCGCCCUGGCUAAUAUCCGGGGUGGAUGACGGUACUGGAAGAAUAAGCACCGGCUAACUACGUGCCAGCAGCCGCGGUAAUACGUAGGGUGCGAGCGUUAAUCGGAAUUACUGGGCGUAAAGUGUGCGCAGGCGGUUGUGCAAGACAGAUGUGAAAUCCCCCGGGCUUAACCUGGGAAUGGCAUUUGUGACUGCACGGCUAGAGUGUGUCAGAGGGGGGUAGAAUUCCACGUGUAGCAGUGAAAGUGCGUAGAUAUGUGGAGGAACACCGAUGGCGAAGGCAGCCCCCUGGGAUAACACUGACGCUCAUGCAACGAAAGCCGUGGGGGAGCAAACAGGAUUAGAUACCCUGGUAGUCCACGCCCUAAAGCGAUGUCAACUAGCUUGUCGGGUCUUAAUUGACUUGGUAAACGCAGCUAACGCGUGAGUUGACC
rnacentral:rRNA from 1 species